ACGAGAGGCCCCAGUUGAUACAUUCGGCGUAAAGAGUGGUUAUGGGGACAUAACACUAAAGCCAAAGACCCCUCAAGCAGUCAUACGCACUCAGGAGUUCGAAGCACCAGCACGAAAGUCGCUUUACUUUACUCACCAGAACCCACGACAGCCGGGAGACAAACUGGGAUUAGAUACCCCACUAUGCCCCGCCGUAAACUUUGAUGCAUAAAUACAACAAACAUCCGCCAGGGGACUACGAGCGUCAGCUUAAAACCCAAAGGACUUGGCGGUGCUUCAAACCCCCCUAGAGGAGCCUGUUCUAGAACCGAUAAUCCCCGUUCAACCUCACCAUUUCUAGCUUUUCCCGCCUAUAUACCGCCGUCGCCAGCUUACCCUGUGAAGGUAUUACAGUAAGCAAAACAGGCACACCCUAAAACGUCAGGUCGAGGUGUAGCGCACGAAAUGGAAAGAAAUGGGCUACAUUAUCUGAAACAGAUUACCAACAAACGGUCUCCUGAAAUAAAGACCCGAAGGUGGAUUUAGCAGUAAAGAGAGAAUAGAGCGCCCUCUUGAAGCCGGCCCUGAAGCGCGCACACACCGCCCGUCACUCUCCCCGACAAUCAACCUUAACCCAAGUACUUCAACAAAACAAUAACAGCAAGGGGAGGCAAGUCGU
rnacentral:rRNA from 1 species